CUUCCCCGCCCACGUCUGGGGGUUAUAUAAGGCGGAUCAGAAGUAGGAAGGACAUCUUGUCCUUCUCAGAGGCACAAAAAAGACUCUCUCUCUCUCGCCCCCAAGAUGAAGCUGAUUUCCAUGGUGAUGGCCCUAGUUGUGGCCCUGUCUGGCCUCCUGGGUUCAGCUCGUGCCAUGCCUGACCCCUUCCCCGUUGCUGACCCCGUGGCUGACCCUGACCCCGCGGCUGACCCCUGGUUCUUUAGACGCAGGUACCAUUACCCACGCUACCACCACUACCCCCGCUACCAUCACUACCACCACUGGUGAAAACGGGGAUUCCGAAAAUGUAGCACAGUUUAUUGGGUUCCGCUCAACUUACAUAUCCAUAUAUGAUUUAUGUAUUUCGACAAUCUUGCCUUCAAAAUAAAACACUGAAAGAGG